CGUGUGGAGAUGCUGAUUCCCCCUGGAUGCAGGUGCUUGAGAGCCAGCUCCUCCAAGGGAGAAGGGAACUCGUUAUCAUUAACUGUGCUUAGUGAGCGGUCCGACUCCUUGGGUGGAAAUGCUCCCUUCUGCACAAAGCAGUUCUGUUACUACGUUGUGUCACCGUGUACCCAAAUAUCUACUUGAUGUCAGUGCUAAAACAUUGGCUGCACUUGAUACGACCAUAACUGGGGGUCCGAGCUGUUGUUUAGAACGCCUCAAAGACUGAAGACCUUGAAAAUUACAGUACCACAGCAUUUCUGCUACCUCAAGGCCAAAUCCCAAAUCAGAAACCCCGAACAGGGUCAGUUCAGCAAAAAGAUGAGCCCUGUGGAUGGAAGGACAC
rnacentral:lncRNA from 1 species